rnacentral:lncRNA from 1 species
CGAAGAAGGACGUUUCCUUCCCCUUCUGCCAUUGUAAGUUUUCCUGAGGCCUCCCCAGCCCUGUAGAACUGUGAGUCAGUUGAACCUCUUUCUUUUAUAAAUUACCCAGUCUUGGGUAUGUCCUUACAGCAGCGUGAGAACGACCUUCCCCGUUGACUCCAUCUCAGCCUCGGCCUCACGGCUUCAGUCUGUUCUUAUUUCCUCUCAUUCCUUCAGUGCGCUCAUGGGUCUGAUUCACAGAGCUGGAUCCUGAGGUCCCUCCUGUAGACUCACCUGUGACCUCGCCUGCCAAGGAGAUGCCCAGUGAUAUUUAAUCUUGCAUAAGCCCAGAACAUCUCCAGUUCAAUCCUUCCCGGCUCCAGAGGCUGGCUUACUGGGGGACUGUUUGAGGAAUGGGUUGGGAUGCAGAUUCCUGGGACCCAACAGAGAUGCUUGACUCAGGGAUGGAUAUUUAAUAAGCUCUUCUCCCUGGUGCCUGGAGCAUAAUUAGGCUCGGGAGCUGUGACCUGGUCCUGGGUGUGGGGUAUACCACAGACAUCCUGCACAUGUGUGCUGGGCAGGUGUCCUUUCUGGAUUUGAAUCUCUA